rfam:Triticum urartu cultivar G1812 contig810116, whole genome shotgun sequence.
ACAGAUUCCCCUAAGAAUCAGGUGGUCGUGCCGUCAAAAUUGUAGUCUGAAGAGGCGCCCUCGGCGAUGCGCUGCGCUCUAGUCUCCUGAAAAGGGUGGCCUGGAAGAGUGAGAGCCCCGCCUGGCUCGAACCCUAUUGCCCUACGAGGCGCCGCCAACGAGUCGGGUUGUUUGAAUAUGUGACCCAAAUUGGGCAACAGACUCCAUCCAAGGCUAAAUACAAACGAGAGAGCCCAUGCUAUUUAAUAUAAUUGAUG